UUGAAAAUAAUGAGUGCCGUUGAACCUCCUACUGUAUCAUAUAUGAUGACGCUCAUUCACACUGUCAGAUCCAAUCCCCUGAGCAGGAGAAGCAACCAAUCUAUGCUUGCGAUCAUCCUCCCAUCAAGUGAAAGAAAGAUUAUCUCUUCUUUUGGAGGAGAGAAGUAAGCACGGUCUGUACAGGCUCCAUUACUCACCUGGCACUGCUGACUUGAGAGGUUUGGCGGUUGACUUCAUGACAGACGACUGCGCUGUUGUCAUAUUCUCACUUCUCCGUGGCAAGACAUUCAGCAACAUUCAGCAACUCAGCACAGUACAGCACAGCUGUACAGAGGUCUUCACUGGGCCUGUAUCUCUGAGCUGCCAGCCCACCUUCUGUACAUAGUGCCUGGCAGAGAGCCUAAACGCUGGCCACCAGUUCUUUCCAGUGUGCAGGAGACAGAUCACAGAGGAGAACCUUCAGGUCAACAGAAUCCUGAGAGACUUGACACGGGAGCUGAGACAGAGAAGGGAGGUCAGAGGUCAUGUCAGGCCAGCAGGGGACAUGUGCCCUGAACAUGAGGAGCCUCUAAAACUGGUCUGUGUCAUGCAGCGACCUGGUCUGUCUGGUCUGCACCAAGGGGAGAUAUCACAUAGCCCACUCCUUCAAACCACUGAACGAGUUGGAGGAGGAUUUCAAGAAGGAGCAGGCCUCAAACUUGGAUAUCCUGGACAAAAAGAUUGCUGAAGUUAAUCAGCUUCGCCACAGCCAACAGAAUGAAAUCACCGUUGCCGCCAAUAUCAAAGCCCAGAUCCACUAUCAGGUUGAAGACCUGAUCAGAGAGCUGAGAAUGGGAGAGAGCCAGACAGUCCAAGACGUGGAUAAGAAAAAUUGCUGUCAACAUGGAGAAUAAUUUAACUGUCUGGCUGAAGCCUACACCCAAAAGACAGAUAUGCUAUAUUUGCUGACCAACCCAGAGCCCAGAGCCGCGCUUCAGUGGUUUACUGAACAAAGGAAUUUCUUAAAUAUAUCCAAGGCAUCAUCACUGUACAAAUGGUUGAAGUUCACUGUGCAUCCUAAAACUCGGGUUGUCAGAGGACCUGUCUGGUCACAUCAACUGGAAGAGAAUAGAAAGAGAGACUGGCUUAACGAAGGAGGAGGUAUUCAUGACCAUUUUAACCAUAGUAUUCGCUGUAAUAUUAACUGCUUUUUGGACAUAUUCUAGUACACUUUCGAUCAUAGGUAUUGUGGGAAUAAUUCUAGAAAAAAUACAAGGAACUCAUCACGGAUUCCGGUUGGUAUCAGAGUUGGUGUCAAUUUCAUUUCAAUUCCAGACAUUCAAUUCCAGAAAGUAAACCAAAUUCCUUUUUUUUAUUUUUAUUGUCCUAAUUGAAAAGUUUUUAAGAGAAUUGGAAUUGGAAUUUCUGUGUACUUCCUGAAUUUAAUGGAAUUUAAAUGGAAUUGACCCAGACCAUGGUUGAUACGCAUGACAAAGAUUCAAUUAAAUUAUUGUAAUGACAAACUGUUAUUGGCCUGUCUAUUGAAGGAAGCAAUUGUAAGUGACCUACUUGUUUUUUUAUAAAUGAAAAACGAUUGUUGCGUGAAAUAUUUGAUAAUUGUGAUACUUUUAUCCUUCUGGUUGAGAAAGGGAGGACAGUGUGUGAGUGUAUUGAUGUGUACAAUUGUGAAUUGUGAAUUUAAAAUUUUUUUGUUAAUUCAGAUGGCACUAACCUACAUUUUUCAUGGCAGGGAAUAAAAAUAUUGUGUUAAAGUUGAAAUCGAUUAGCUGAUUGGUUCAGGGUGAUGCGAUUACUCUAUGUAUUCUUGAAACGAUAUAACUUCGUAAUAGUACACUUUAUGAAAGAAGCACAGACAUCUGUUUUUGGGUUAAUAUCAACAUUUGUAUACAGUGCAUAUUCAAUUCUGGAGAGAAACAUUUUAUUUUUGUACAUCCUGACAUAGCACAUUUGCUAAAAUGUCUAAAAACCUGUUUUC